ACACGUACUGAGUAGGUAUCAUCGGCCAACUCAAAAUAGAAAACAGUAUAUAUCAGAUAACAUCAUAAAAUCAACUAAUAUCCUUAGCAUGCAGCAUUUACAAUUACCAAUACCCUUGGUUACAACACCAAGCACAUCAAUGAGGACUCACGCCUCGUCAUCAUACUCAUUUGGGAAUUAGGUUCAUUAGGUUGAGUAUAUUAACAUCUUUCAAGAUUUAUUAUCUUUAUUCCUCUCGUGUCGGUACGUGACACUCCGCUCCUCAUAUACUAUCCUGGUGUCGGAACGUGACACUCCGAUCCUUAUUCUAUCCUGGUGUCGGAACGUGACACCCGAUCCAUAUUCUAUCCUGGUACCGGAACGUGGCACCCGAUCCAUAUACUAUCCUGGUGUCGGAACGUGACACUCCGAUCCUCAUAUACUAUCCUGGUACCGGAACGUGGCACCCGAUCCAUAUACUAUCCUGGUGUCGGAACGUGACACUCCGAUCCUCAUAUACUAUCCUGGUACCGGAACAUGGCACCCGAUCCCCUAAUCUCACUACUUUCGUUCAUCAAGCCUUCUUUUACACUAAGGCAUCAUCAUUAACAAAGUAGAUUAGGGUUUCUCAAGAUUUAGGAUUCAAUAGCUUCAUCAUGCUUAUUUUAUCCCAAUUACAUAAUCACAUUCAUGCAAGAAUACAAUUAAGCAUAUAGAAGGGUUUACAAUGCUACCCAUACAUAUCAUUCGCUAUUAAGAGUUUACUACGUAUAGUAUAAAAACCAUAACCUACCUCCACCGAAGAAUUGAAGUCAAGUAACUACUUCUCCAAUGCCUUUCCUUUCCUUAUUGCCUCCGAAUCUUUCCAAUCUAUCAAGUAUAUAUAUGCACAAUUUGUAAGUUAACGAGUCUAUAAACACUCAGAUUAGUCUAUGUUUAGCUUAGACCCAAAAACUCACCUAAUUAUAUAAUCAAUUUCCCAAAAUUUCAACCUAAGGAUAGAUCUUAAUUCCUUCCAUUAACAUCACCUUAAUGAGAUUCAAGUAACUCAAUACACCUAAUAUUUAAUUAUCUAUCUCAAUAUAAUUAAUAUAUAUUCUAUAAUGUGAUAACAAAUUAUUAUAAUAUUCAAAGAUGAAAGCCACUGGUUACGAAACCAGUGGCCAACUAACAACACGUCCAGAACCUAAUGUUGGUUAUCAACCAUUUUACCACCUAAGUUUCUUCCUAUAAUGACUUGAUUUUAAUUUUCCAAUCAUAUUCACCUAAUCUUGAUUAUAUAGCAAUAGGCAUAAUCAUAAUGCUAUAAUAUAAUAUAAUUAACUAAGUGCAAUCACGUUACCACCAAGAGCAUGAACACCCAUAUAUCCUAACCUUUAAAUCUAUCAUAUGCUGCCAAUUAUCAUUCCUCAAAUAGUCAUCAUUAUCUAUUAAUUUCCCAUCCAAAACUUUGACCAUUAUUACUCAAUAUUAUCCAUCAAACUUAAAAAGAAAUUCAACAAAAGAAUUAAGUAAUAACUCUAAUUUGUUUCUCCCAUAUUCUAAGUAUAAUUUAUAAUACAAAAUUUGAUAAUAAUUUAAUAGUAAAAAGACACCACAAGUGAGUUGCGAACAAACCACAGAAGGUUUGAAUCGUUACUUUCCAAUGAAACUCAUUCUUUUCAAUUUCUCAUCUCCUAAUUACAAUAACAUAAUUAUAAUAAUCAUAAGACAUUUUUUUCAUAUUCAUUAAUAGAUAUAAUAUUACUUGUAUUUGUUCUUUCAAUGACGCCGCAGAUAAAAAUUCUUUAUUGUCACGUCUGAUUCUUCCUUCUUCUUUGUUUUUCAGAUUAUGAUUAUUUUUUUAACCCUAGUUUUUAUAUAAUCAAUUAUUAAAGUGAUAAAAGUGACCCCUAUUAAUUUUAAUAUUAUUUUCUUAACCACUAACUAAAUAAAUUAAUAAAACUACCCCAUUAAUUUCAUAGUUAUAAUUAUGAAUAGUCCAAAACACCUAUUUAAAUCAAUCGGAAAGUAUUUUCUGACAUAAAAGUUCUAGUGCUCAAAACGAUCGAAAAUGGUCGUUACAAUAGAUACCAAUUUACCCAUCGUUCAUCCUCGAACGAUCAAAAGAAGAAAAACAAGGGCGGAAAGGAGUACCUGAAUCUGUAAACAGGUGUGGGUAUCUUUCUUGCAUGUCAGCCUCUUUCUCCCAAGUGGCUUCUUCAACAGGUCGAUUCUUCCAUUGAACUUUGAUGGAUGCAAUCUCCCUUGACCUCAACUUGCAAACUUCUCUAUCUAGAAUAGCAACAGGUUCCUCCUCAUAGGACAAAUUCUCAUCAAGCAAAACUGAAUCCCAACGGAUAAUGUAGUUUCCAUCCCCAUGGUAUCUUUUCAACAUAGACACAUGAAACACCGGAUGCACUCCGGACAGCCCUGGAGGCAAGGCUAACUCAUAAGCCACCUCUCCUACUCGCUUAAGUACUUCAAAGGGACCAAUAUACCUUGGGCUUAAUUUACCCCUUUUACCAAACCGCAUACCCCUUUCAUGGGUGAAACCUUCAGCAAGACUUGUUCACCCUCCAUGAACUCCAAGUCUCUAACCUUUCGAUCUGCAUAUUCCUUUUGCCUACUUUGCGCCGCUAACAGCUUUUCUUGAAUAUAUUUCACUUUAUCUAACGAUUCUCUCAGAAGGUCAGUACCCCAAGGUCUAACCUCAAAUGCAUCAAACCACCCAAUGGGAGACCUACAUCUUCUCCCAUAUAAUGCCUCGAAUGGGGACAUAUCAAUGCUUGAGUGAUAGCUAUUGUUGUAGGAGAACUCUGCUAAGGGUAAGAAGCUAUCCCAAUGACCACCAAAUUCUAUCACGCAUGCACGAAGCAUAUCCUCCAACACUUGAAUCGUUUGCUCGGACUGACCAUCGGUCUAAGGAUGGAACGCAGUACUAAGGUCCAACCUAGUACCCAAUUCCGCAUGCAAUGUUUUCCAAAACUUAGAAGUAAACUGUGUACCUCUAUGUGAUAUGAUGGAGAGUGGAACCCCAUGCAACCGAACAAUUUUUGAGAUAUAGAUUUUGGCUAACUUCUCUGCGUUGUAAGUCACCUUGACCGGAAUGAAAUGAGCAGACUUAGUUAACCUAUCAACAAUCACCCAAAUAGAGUCAUACUUACCCAUUGUCUUCGGAAGACCAACCACAAAGUCCAUUGCAAUUCUUUCCCACUUCCAUUCCGGAAUGGGCAUUCUCUGAAGUGUUCCUCCGGGCCUUUGGUGUUCAUACUUUACUUGUUGACAGUUUGGACAUUUGGCAAUAAAAUCCACAAUGUCACGCUUCAUUCUACUCCACCAAAAGUGUUGCUUUAGGUCACGGUACAUCUUGGUUGCACCAGGAUGUAUAGAGUACCUUGAACUAUGAGCCUCUGUCAGAAUAGUGUUGAUCAAAUCAUCAACGCGGGGCACACAUACCCUUCUCUUGAUUCUCAAAACACCUUCCUCAUCGAUUGUUGCUUCUUUAGCCUCUCUUCGCAACACUUUAUCUCGGAUCUGGGUCAAUUUCUCAUCAUUAAACUACUUUCCCUUAGUCUGGUCAAGAAAAGAAGAUCUCGCCUCCACACAAGCCAACAAUCCUCCUUUCUCAUUUACUUCUAACCUCAUAAAGUCGUUGGCCAGAGUCUGAACCUCUCUAGCCAAUGGACAUCUAGAAACUUGCAAGUGAGCUAGACUUCCCAUGCUCCCUGCCUUUCUACUUAAGGCGUCUGCCACAACAUUAGCCUUUCCCGGAUGAUACAAAAUAGUGAUAUCGUAGUCCUUCAGUAGUUCCAUCCAUCUCUUCUGUCUUAAAUUCAAAUCUUUUUUAGUAAAGACAUACUGUAGGCUACGAUGAUCCGUGUAUACUUCACACUUAACUCCAUAUAGAUAGUGUCUCCAUUGCUUUAAGGCAAACACUACCGCAGCCAAUUCCAAAUCAUGGGUCGGAUAAUUACGUUCAUGCACCUUUAAUUGUCUUGAAGCAUAAGCAAUUACAUUCUUCUCUUGCAUUAGUACUGCACCCAAGCCAGAAUAGGAUGCAUCACAAUAAACAAUGAAGUUCUUACCCUCUACUGGCAGGGUAAGGAUUGGCGCAGUAGUCAACAAGGUCUUGAGUUUUUGAAAGCUUUCUUCGCACUCGUUCGACCAUACGAAUGGAACAUUAUGUUUAGUCAAGUUUGUCAAUUGGGAAGCAAUGGAAGAGAAUCCCUUGACAAAUCGACGAUAGUAGCUAGCUAAACCGACAAAGUUCCUUAUUUCUGACACAUUAGUAGGUCUUACCCAAUUCUUCACUGUCUCAAUCUUAGAAGGAUCCACCAUCACGCCGUCCUUAGACACCACGUGCCCCAAGAAGGACACUGAAUCUAGCCAAAACUCACACUUGGAGAAUUUGGCAUAGAGCUUCUUCUCCCUUAACAUUUCCAGUACCAUUCUCAAAUGCUCCUCAUGUUCUUUCUUGCUCUUUGAGUAUAUCAGUAUAUCAUCAAUAAAUACAAUCACAAAGAGAUCCAAAUAUGGCUUAAAAAUCCCGUUCAUCAAGCUCAUGAAAGCAGCAGGGGGAUUCGUAAGACCAAAAGACAUUACUACAAAUUUGUAAUGUCCAUACCUGGUCCGAAAAGCAGUCUUUGGCACAUCCAUUGCUCGUAUUUUCAAUUGAUGAUAACUGGAUCUCAAGUCAAUCUUAGAGAAGACACAAGCACCUUGUAACUGAUCGAACAAGUCAUCAAUGCGAGGAAUGGGAUACUUGUUCUUAAUAGUUACCUUGUUCAACUGUCUGUAGUCUAUGCACAUCCGAAAGCUUCCAUCCUUCUUCUUCACAAACAAAACAGGAGCACCCCAAGGGGAUGCACUUGGUCUAAUGAAGCCUUUGCUCAGCAACUCUUGCAGUUGGGUCUUUAACUCUCUUAACUCCGCGGGAGCCAUUCUAUAAGGGGGUAUAGAAAUGGGGCGAGUACCCGGUUCAAGAUCAAUGCAGAAGUCAAUAUCCCUAUCUGGUGGCAUACCAGGAAGAUCUGCAGGGAACACAUCCAGAAACUUGCGGACUACCGAAACCGACUCAAUUGGAGGUACUUGGGUAGUAUCAUCCCUGAGAUGUGCCAAGAACGCUAAACAACCCUUACUAACCAUUUUCUUAGCACGAAGAAAGGAGAUGAUACGAACCGGAUUGGAAGUGUAGUCACCCUCCUACACUAACGGAUCUGUCACAGGCUUGGCUAACGUCACAGUUUUAGCAUUACAAUCCAAGAUCGCAAAAUUCGGAGAAAGCCAAGUCAUACCCAGAAUUACAUCAAAAUAAACAAUUUCUAAGAUAACCAAGUCUACAUAAGUGUUGCUCCCCACAAAAGUCACCAAACAAGACCUAUACACUUUUUCAACUAUCACAGACUCACCCACCGGAGUAGAAACCCGAAUAGGCAUGUCAAGCAAUUCACAAUGUAAAUUAAGACCAUUAGAAAAUGUGGAAGAUACAUAUGAAAAUGUAGAGCCAGGGUCAAAUAAUACAGAAGCCAUACAAUCACAAACCAAAAGAUUACCUGUGAUGACAGCAUCAGAUGUCUCUGCUUCAGAUCUCCCAGGGAAAGCAUAACAAUGGGCCCUCUCACCUGUCUGUCCGUUGCCCCUACCAUGUUGUGAUGUAGUUGCUCCAGUUUGCCCAUCACCCCGUCCGUUUUGGUGACCACCAUUACCUCGACCACUGCGUCCUCCAGAAUGACGGCCUCUUCCAUAACCACCUCUACCUCUAACAUUUGGAGGUCUGUAACUCUUUUUUGGACAAUACCUCUUGAUGUGUCCAGUCUCCCCACAUCCAUAACACUCUAUGGAUUCAAGCAUAGGUCUCUCAGAGAAGUGUUGACCGGUCUGAGGUGGACCCCCAACUACAAUCUGUAGUGAGGACUGAAUUGGUCAGACUGAGUAACCUCCUGAACCCUGUCCUCUAGAGUAAGAACCAUUAAACUCACCUCCCUUUCGAAACCUCUUUGAUGUCGUUACCAUAGUGAAGUCAUCUGGCUUCACUCCCUCUACCUCUAUCACGAAGUCUACCACUUCUUGAAAAGAUUUUGCCGUAGCCGCUACCUGCAAGGCUGAAAUCCGCAAUUCUGAUCUCAACUCCUUCACAAAGCGGCGAAUCCGCUCUUGUGGACUAAAACAAAGUUGGGUGGCAUACCUGGAUAAUGCACGAAACUUAGCCUCAUAUGCAGUAACCGACAUCCUACCUUGCUCUAGGCUCAAGAACUCAUCUCUUUUCCUAUCCCUCAAAGUCCGGGGAAUAUACUUCUCCAUAAACAAGCUAGAGAAUGAUUCCCAAGUCAUAGGUGGCGCCUCUGUUGGUUGACACUCAACAUGUGACCGCCACCACAUUUUGGCGUUCCCUUAAAACUGAUAAGUCACAAACUCCACACCAAACCGUUCUACUAUACCCAUCUUGUGUAGUAGCUCGUCACAGUCAACCAGAAAUCAUAAGCAUCCUCAGAUUCAGCACCCUUGAAGACUGGAGGUUUCAAUUUCAAGAACUUACUGAAAAUUUCAUGCUGAUCAUUUGUCAUUAUAGACCCUGUAGUCUGAUGAGGAAAUGUGCCUAUUUCCAAUGAGGCAUCCAUGCGGGGAGCCACAGUAGCCGCAUGUUGUACCUCCGGAACCUGAGGUGCUGGUGCAGAAAACACUGGAGGCGCUUGGCCUUGAUCAAAUAACCCGCUAAGAUAAGCAAGAACCUCAUUGAUCAUCUCUGGGGUAGGUUGGGGUGGUAAUUCCUCAUUCUGUACUUGUUCAUUUUCCCCAUCCUCCCCUUCUCUUAUUACUUCCUCAGUCGGUGGAGGAGUCACCGCCCUAGUAUCAGAUGGGCUAGGUGCUCGUCCUCUUCCUCUAGAGGACGUCCUCCCACGACCUCUACCACGGCCUCUUGCCGCUACUCUUCCUCGAGCUACAGCCCCAGUGGCUGGUUCAGACGCACCCUGUCCCGCCGGUGCUGGUGUUGGUGCGGUUGUUGCUCUAGUUCUAACCAUCUGCGAAAUAGAGUGAAGAUGGUCAGAUACCAAUUUGUAUCACCUAGAUACCAAUUGGACCCAAGUAAUAGCACGAAAGAAAGAAAGAAUGGAAUUUUCCUAAAGUCUUAUAGCCUCUCAGAGAAAAGUAAAGGCGUCCCUCUAUCGUUCCUUAAGACUCUACUAGACUCGUUCUUGUGUGAUGAGACCAACGAACCUAAUGCUCUGAUACCAAGUUUGUCACAACCCAAAUCGGGCCGCGACUGACACCCACACUUACCCUCCUAUGUGAGCGAACCAACCAAUCUAAACCUUAACAUUUCAAAAUAAUAUCAACAGAAAGUAAUGCGGAAGACUUAAACUCAUUAAUAAAAACCAAUUCAAUAACUUCUAAAAACUCAACAACUAUUAUUAUCACCAAAAUCUGGAAGUCAUCAUCACAAGAACAUCUACUUCAAAUUACUAAAUCUAAGAGUAUCUAAGAAGCUAAAAUACAUAAACAGCUAGUCUAUGCCGGAACUUCAAGGCAUCAAGACAUGAAGAGGAGGAUCCAGUCCAAGCUAGAAGCAUUAGCUCACCCUGAUAUCCGGAGUAAUGAAGACUGACUAGAGUUGCGGUUGAGUUGAAGAGACGGUACGUUUGCUGCACUUCACAAUUUACAAAGAAAACAAAUACAAGUAGGGGUCAGUACAAACACAAGUAUUGAGUAGGUAUCAUCGGCCAACUCAAAAUAGAAAACAGUAUAUAUCAGAUAACAUCAUAAAAUCAACUAAUAUCCUUAGCAUGCCGCAUUUACAACUACCAUAACCCUUGGUUACAACACCAAGCACAUCAAUGAGGACUCACGCCUCCUCAUCAUACUCAUUUGGGAAUUAGGUUCAUUAGGUUGAGUAUAUUAACAUCUUUCAAGAUUCAUUAUCUUUAUUCCUCUCGUGUCGAUACGUGAAACUCCGCUCCUCAUAUACUAUCCUGGUGUCGGAACGUGACACUCCGAUCCUUAUUCUAUCCUGGUGUCGGAACGUGACACCCGAUCCAUAUUCUAUCCUGGUACCGGAACGUGGCACCCGAUCCAUAUACUAUCCUGGUGUCGGAACGUGACACUCCGAUCCUCAUAUACUAUCCUGGUACCGAAACGUGGCACCCGAUCCAUAUACUAUCCUGGUGUCGGAACGUGACACUCCGAUCCUCAUAUACUAUCCUGGUACCGGAACAUGGCACCCGAUCCCCUAAUCUCACUACUUUCGUUCAUCAAGCCUUCUUUUACACUAAGGCAUCAUCAUUAACAAAGUAGAUUAGGGUUUCUCAAGAUUUAGGAUUCAAUAGCUUCAUCAUGCUUAUUUUAUCCCAAUUACAUAAUCACAUUCAUGCAAGAAUACAAUUAAGCAUAUAGAAGGGUUUACAAUGCUACCCAUACAUAUCAUUCGCUAUUAAGAGUUUACUACGUAUAGUAUAAAAACCAUAACCUACCUCCACCGAAGAAUUGAAGUCAAGUAACUACUUCUCCAAUGCCUUUCCUUUCCUUAUUGCCUCCGAACCUUUUCAAUCUAUCAAGUAUAUAUAUUCACAAUUUGUAAGUUAACGAGUUUAUAAACACUCAGAUUAGUCUAUGUUUAGCUUAGACCCAAAAACUCACCUAAUUAUAUAAUCAAUUUCCAAAAAUUUCAACCUAAGGAUAGAUCUUAAUUCCUUCCAUUAACAUCACCUUAAUGAGAUUCAAGUAACUCAAUACACCUAAUAUUUAAUUAUCUAUCUCAAUAUAAUUAAUAUAUAUUCUAUAAUGUGAUAACAAAUUAUUAUAAUAUUCAAAGAUGAAAGCCACUGGUUACGAAACCAGUGGCCAACUAACAACACGUCCAGAACCUAAUGUUGGUUAUCAACCAUUUUACCACCUAAGUUUCUUC
rnacentral:lncRNA from 1 species